CUUUUCAUAAGACCCAAGUUAGAGGCGCUGAUUUCGUUUCUUGCAGUUAUUUAAAUUUCGGCACUGGGGCGAGUUUGCGUUCAUUCAAGAGUGUUGGCUAUAAAAAAGCGGCGUGUUGGGCUGUGAAGAAAACUUUUGUCCCACAGCAUUUUGUACAACAUUUCACUUCAGCAGAUGAAGAGAAAAAAAGUGUCAAAAGCAGGAAGGCAAAGAAAAAACGCUGCGACUCUCCAACAACUCCGACAUAGAACACAAUAAACAUCCAAGGCAUCACAGACACUGCAGUCAGCAACGAUUAGCCUUAUGAGUGCAGCACCGACGGCCUGCACAACAACGACAGCAUCUGAUAUCUGAUGGUCACGUCCAUUCCUUGAUUGGUGUGUCGAUUACAGAAUCUAUUUAAACUAUGGGCAUGCUGUUUUCUGCCUCUUUUUGCGGCCCACCGUCGAAACAUCUUGACACAAUAACAUAUCAACAAAAUAGACAAGCGCUAAGACUGAUUAUUUAUACAAUGCGACAAGGACACGCUGUACUUAGUCUGUCUCAUUACAUCAAUUCCUGAUCAUGUGAAGUAAAAAGCAAAGAGCACGUCGUUGGAACAAAAGCGUGUGAUACAUGAUCGUAAGCGAUAUUCUCUGACAGCAAACUAACGUCAACCCUCGUUUUUCUCUUUCCAGACAGCUCGACCUGAUGUUUUCACAAAAUCAUUCAACGGAUGAAACAUGAGUGUACAGGAAUAUUCAAAAGGGAAGUAUAACAACAGCAACUGUAUGCACGUGAACGCGGUACAAUACUUAGUUCCAUAAAACAGGUUAUAUUUCACUUUGGCCUUAUAGAGCCUUCAUUUUUGAAAAAUAUUUCCAGACAGUAAAAGCGCUUAUGUUACACGAGGUUUUACUGACAUUUCCUACUGGGUUAGUAAAAAAUUACACAUUACUUUACAUGAUCGUAGGCGAUAUUUUCUGACAGCAAACUAACGUCAACCCUCGUUUUUCUCUUUCCAGACAGUUCGACCUGAUGUUUUCUCAUACACAUACAGUAUAGCCUCAAUAUAUCAUUCAACAUUUGGAGCGUGACUGUGUACUACAACUGUUUCAUUCACUAGUGUUUAUGACUUCAGGAAUUCUAAAGGGAAUUACUAAUACUGAUUGGAGCACAUUCCUCUGGACACGGCCAAUGGCCUAAGAUUAUGGUGUGCUGUGAACAAGGUGCGUUGGUAGGCCUGUAUGAAAUGAACAUGAAGACUCGCGUGUCCAAUAACCUUUCUUUUAUUCAAUGAGAACAAUAAGGCAGGGUAAGCAACAUCAAAUCUAGGCCCUGUGAUUCAUACAUCGUUUAAUCAGCGACAUAGAGAAUUAAAGGUAGAAUGCCAGAAAGUAAUGUCGAUGAAUUUUUAAGACCUCCUCUUCAACGUAAUGAGUAUAAAGUUAAGACAGAUCCAACUUACAUAAUGAGUUACAGGUUGGGACAAAUGAACAAGAAGCCCUCAUAUGAUCGAACUCGGACUUAAGUCAGUUUUAGUCUUGACCUUGAACAACAAGUUCUUCAUCCAUAUCUAGAAACUGAAGUUCAUCGUUCUCCUGAGCCUCCUCUUCCACGUCACCGAAUAGCAGUGGUCCUGCAUCAAUGUCACGAGGACGAAACGCUGCCUCAAAACCGUUAAUGACAACUCGGGCAUCAACUGCAUCCCAUGCCUGGCUUAUGAUGUUUACCACAUCAAGUAAUGUGAUUGGAGGACACUCUCCAUCAUUGUCAGUGUUAGCUGUUUUCCAGGUUUUCCACUGCUGCUUUGCGUGCGAUUUAAAAGAUUUCAUCACUGCCACAUCUAGCGGUUGAGCAAUUGAUGUACACCCAGCCGGUACGAAGUCAAUGAUGCCGCCCAUUUCCAUCAUUCCAUUUCCAAAUAUUUCGGUCCUGUGAACUCGAUAUCUGUCAACAACUAUGAGAAACUGUUCGCAGUUUUCUGUUUCCACAUGUGGUCUAAAAACUGCAUCGAUCCAAUGCACAAUAGUUUCUGUCUUCAUCCAUCCUGAUUGAGAUGAGGUUACUCGAACAUUCUGAGGCAAGUCAUUCUCGAAGAGGGCAUCCAACUGCCUUACGAACCCACGCCUUGGAAAUGUCACAUGGGCAGGCAGUUUGCCACCCGUGGCAGUGAUGCACAGCGAGACAGUGCAUCCAAGUUUGGGGUUUGAUCGAUAAGUCCUGAUAUCGACUGAUUUCGUUCCUUUGUUUUCACAGCUGUAGAGUGGACGACAGUCCACCAGAAGGAAGGUUUGGUCCAUGUUAAAGAUAAACUGAAAACCGAUGUCGAAUUCAUCAAUCGUCCUAGCAAUUCCAUUUCUGAACGCUUCUACUCGCUGCAAUGCAUCAGCCGGGAUCGUAGUUGUAUUUUUGUUCGAUUUUCGCAAUGUAAUGUCCUUUCGCUUCAUGAAGUCACACACCCAUCCAUUGGAGGCAUGGAAAUCAUGGCGCGUGGGUUUAGCCUCCACAAUGUCAUUGCGUCUUUGGUCGUCGAUAUUAUUCCACCAAUUUGCAAACAGUUCUAGUGCUUUUUCUUGUAGAUCCUGAACGGAUACCGGCAAGUGUCUGGCCCUUAACCCGCAAACCACUCAUGUAGCUCGUUUUCAACCUCAAUCCACGUUCCUAUAAGUUUCACUUUUAUCUUUCGUGAUUUUCCAUAAUUUUCUUCGGCUGCUAGUUCGAGCUCAUUCCGGUCCCAUUUCCGAAAUGUUUCAACCGGAAUUCGGUAAUGAUCGGCAAAUUCCUUGCUGCUCGCGACAGUACCAUUUUCAAGCGCCUCGUCCAGAUCUCGAAGGUACGCUAGUUUUUUGUGUACACUGUAACUUUGCCGUCUCUUUCUCAAAGCCUGUGCAGCUUGGGCCUGCAUCUUGUCAUGUAAAGAUAACCCUAACCAGACAACAACAUUAGAAGAAGAGCUCACAGGACUACAAAAGACAACACGCAAUUGCAAAUUGUUACGGCAAUGCACAAAAGGAGUGUCAUCGGUCACUGUCAAUUUUAAGAUUGCUAUAGACUUCAUAUUCUGAUUAUACUCAUAAUUUACCUGACAGUAGGCCUAUAACUCGGACGAAGAGUGAAAUCAACAUGCCACUGGUCAAACCUUCUAUUUACAAGGAUUCAGGCCCUUUGCUCAGCUCAUGACAUUUCCCAUUGGCCAACCUUCAUAAAAGGUAUGGUAAUAAAAUGAAUAAUAAUCAGUGGGCCUGAGCUUAGUCAAUUUAUAUUGUCUGGUCUUAUAGAUCCGGGGUUAAAGUAUAUAAUCAUAAAAAGUAUAUACAACAACAACUGUAUGCCCGUGCACGCACUGGAAAAAACUUAAGUUUCUUCCAUAACCCCCAUAAAGCUGAAUGAAUGAUACAAUAGUUAGUUCCAUCAAACAGGUUAUAUUUCACUAUGACCUUAUAGAGUCUUCAUAUUUUGAAAAAUACAAGUUUGAAAUCUAUCACUUUUCCAAAAAAUAUUUCCAAACCGUUAGAGACGGUUAUGUUAUGCGACGUUUUACUGACAUUUCCUACCGGGUUAGUAAGAAAUUACACAUUACUUUGCAUCUGCGAAAAAAUAUAGGCGCUUGGCUUGAAAGCGAAAAAAUUUCAAGAAACUUUAUGAACACAUUUUGAAAGAAAUACAUUCUUGUUUGACACCACGGCCGCCAAGACGAAAGCUUAAAUUCAAAGGGAGCAUGGUUAAUAUUCAAGGUAAUUUUCCAAGCAAUGCGUCAACUUCUUGUUUUAGACAGUCAAUACUAUAUUUUAUCGAAUCGUUUUUUGCACCCGAGGCAGACAGGGGUGAAAGACCGCUUGUUAAAUUAGAUUCCGAGGCAACGGAAAAGCCGUCCAUGCGUGGACUGAAAUUCAGAGACGCAGGAGCUCAUUUUCAGUUUUAUACCACUCGAUGUACUUUUGUUUUUAAUAAUAAUAAUAAUAAUAAUAAUUUAUUUGAUUUAAAGUGCUAAAAUAAUGGUGCAUACAUUUUCUAAGCACUGUACAUAAUAUUAAAUGAGUACAUUAAAAGUGGUGAUUUCAUGAGGAUAAAAAACAGUUUAAAAACAUCCGGAAAAUAUCAAUAUUUAAAACAUGUAUGGCCUACUCUGAAUAUGUUAGGAUAAAAAGAUGAGUUUUGAGUUUACUCUUAAAAGUGUUUAGCACAGUGACAUCACGUAACCAGCUUGGAAGGGCGUUUUUACUAAAAUUGAGCUUUUUGCGGAGAAAACAAGAAUUGUCGUCGAAUUCUUGGAGGAAAAUCUGGUUCAUCAUGAAUUGAAAUUGCCAACAGACGGGGUCUCUCGGAUGAUCACAGACAAAUUCAUUUGCUUUUGAUGAUAACAGAAACAUCAUGACAGAAUUGAUUGAGGAUAUCAUAGCAAAAAUAGUCGCGGCUAUAGAGCCAUCAGAAGAAAAGUUCAUAAGAUUUACAAAAUGCAUUCGAAAAACGCUCGAACACUUUGACUCGUCAGAACGUCCUUCAUGGAUAAAGCUGAUUAAAAUCAUCAUCGAUACUCUGGGCGAUUUUACCAUUCAAAUAUUAUGUUAUCAUUUUGGAGGUUCGAUUAAUCGAGGGGCUAGUCCUUUGAAAGCAGAGGCCAGUUUAAGUAUUUCUAUUGCCCCAAAUGAUGUUGUGAAAGUCAUGAAAACUAGUUUAGAAUGCAGUAAUGAUGAGUAUGAUAGCGAGGAAGAGAGUGCGAUUAAAGCAAUUGAUGAUGGAUUCAAUAGAACUUCGAAUCGGAUUGAAAACAUACUUUCUGAGAACAAAAAACGAAAGGCAAAUAGUUGUUUUAUUGAUGAUACAGGCAAUGCCGUUGCGCACAAAAAAAUGUGUUCUAUUGAAAAUGAGAACAAAGAACGCAGCGCUGUUAGUUUGGAAGCCGACUUGCCUUGCCUUCAAUGAUAUAACCCCCCAACAAGCUGGAGCCUCCGCUCAUGAAUGCUGUUCAGGCGAUGAAAAAGCCUUCGUAAAAAAAUAUCUUCGUCCAAUAUUUGAGUCGAAAAAGAAUAGAUUAAAAUAUCCUCACAUUAUUGAAGAUUUUGUAAACAUUUGUUCUGUCCACGAAAAACAAAAGGUCGCUUUGGAAAAGAUAAAACCUUGGGCUGAAAAAUGCGAAAAAUACCACAAGGAUUUUUUUUCACGAAAGGCCUCUGUAGACAAACUCAUGGCGCGGGAAGAAAAAGCUGUCGAGACUUUUAUUGCGGGCAUGAAAAAAAAUGAAGAAGCCAUGACAAAAUUUCACUGUUUCUUCGACCAAAAAACCACAGCUUUGCAAAGUUGUAAGGCCUGUCUAAUGCAUUGUUUGCCUGUUUUGACAGAAGCUAUCAAACCGUUUAGCGGAAAGCCAUGUGGAAAAGGACGUGGGGGCAAGAAAAAAACAAUGACUUUUAACGAAAACAGGGAGGAGAAGGGCUCCUUUAAAAACAUCUUGCAAGAAGAGCUCCAUUCAUAUCAUCUACGAUCCGCGUUAAUACUGUAUUCCUUUGAGCGCGAGAAAAAACCCCACAUCACAUACCAGAAAGAAUGACACUAGCACAGUAUGAAUUUUACCUUUACAAAAAACAUCUGGCAAUGAAAUACGCAAAUAAAACAACUGCGCGCAGCUUAAAACAAACUAACUCUUCGAUAAGAAAACAACAUUUCUAACAAAACAGACUGUAUCGCCCACUUAAUUAUCCUUCCGUGCGGUAACAUGCAUUUGACAGAUAUUCCUGCUCCCAAUGAUAGGCGGUGCCGUAAAUUUUAAAGGAUCACUGCCGGGAUCACUGUUGCUGUUGUUGUAUAUAUUUUUUUGUAAAUGAAUUUUAUAGCCUGUACUUUGAACAUAUGAAUACUGGUAUAUGAGUGAAAAGCAAUCGCUCCUGUUGUCUGUCUAUUAGAAAGGUACAUUCUCUUGUUUGUAUCAUGUAGCAGAGAAAGGCAAGAGAGCAGUUGCCCAAUGUCCUCGCUCAUUAGAGAUUUUUUUGUGAGCUGUCGAAUCGUUUGUACGACCAACUCUUCUUUCAUUAUUUAUCAAUAUCGUGUCUACAAAACAAUAUGAAAUUUUACGAAAUUUAUCGGCCACGUAUCUGCAAAAAGUAAAAGAGCAGAGGCGUUAGUGUAUGUGUAUUACUAUGUACAUAAGUAUCAUCGUGUCUUUCUAUUGUAUUAUCCCGCUGUAUGUGUCUAUAUUUUCAUGCUGCAAAAAAAUGUGGCCUAAAAAUCAGUUGAAAUAAAUUGAAUUGAAUUGUAUUGAUAGACAAACCACAAGGGUGCCGCUAAGUGAAGACACGUUUUGAAAUUAAGAAAAUGUUCGCUGCUAAAAUUCCCUUUUUCUCAGUUGUUUAUAAGAUCAUGUUAGAGAUUGCCACUAAGAGUUCCCACUCCAGAGAAGGAGCAACGAAAUAAAAAGUGAAAACGAACAUGCAUGAUGCUCUUCAAUGUGUCAUUUUCAAUAUUGCUCUGUCCCUAUUUCUCUUCUAGAUUUGAAAAUGUGUACUUGGAAAUUAGAAAUAAAAAUGUU